GAUGAACGCUGGCGGCGUGCCUAAUACAUGCAAGUCGAGCGAACGGACGAGAAGCUUGCUUCUCUGAUGUUAGCGGCGGACGGGUGAGUAACACGUGGAUAACCUACCUAUAAGACUGGGAUAACUUCGGGAAACCGGAGCUAAUACCGGAUGAUAUUUUGAACCGCAUGGUUCAAAAGUGAAAGACGGUCUUGCUGUCACUUAUAGAUGGAUCCGCGCUGCAUUAGCUAGUUGGUAAGGUAACGGCUUACCAAGGUAACGAUGGAAAGCCGACCCCAGAGGGUCGUCGGCUACCCGGUAACUGAGCCACGUCCCCGACUCCUACGCUAGGAAGCAGCACGGACUCCUACGCGAUGCGCGAAAGCCUGACAGAGCAACGCCGCCUGAGGGCUGAUGGUCUUCGGAUCCUAAAACUCUGUUAUUCGGGGAGUAGAAAUGUGCAUGUACCUGUGCUCAUCAUGACGGUACCUAAUCAGAAAGCCCCGGCUAACUACGUG
rnacentral:rRNA from 1 species